CCUACGGGAGGCAGCAGUGAGGAAUAUUGGUCAAUGGCCGUAAGGCUGAACCAGCCAAGUAGCGUGAGGGAAGACUGCCCUAUGGGUUGUAAACCUCUUUUAUGCGGGGAUAAAGGUGUCCACGUGUGGCGCUUUGCGAGUACCUGAAGAAAAAGCAUCGGCUAACUCCGUGCCAGCAGCCGCGGUAAUACGGAGGAUGCGAGCGUUAUCCGGAUUUAUUGGGUUUAAAGGGUGCGCAGGCGGAAUGUCAAGUCAGCGGUAAAAUUUCGGGGCUCAACCCCGUCGUGCCGUUGAAACUGGCGUUCUUGAGUGAGCGAGAAGUAUGCGGAAUGCGUGGUGUAGCGGUGAAAUGCAUAGAUAUCACGCAGAACUCCGAUUGCGAAGGCAGCAUACCGGCGCUCAACUGACGCUCAUGCACGAAAGCGUGGGUAUCGAACAGGAUUAGAUACCCGAGUAGUC
rnacentral:rRNA from 1 species